rnacentral:rRNA from 1 species
GGGUUGUGAGGUUAAGCGACUAAGCGUACACGGUGGAUGCCCUGGCAGUCAGAGGCGAUGAAGGACGUGCUAAUCUGCGAUAAGCGUCGGUAAGGUGAUAUGAACCGUUAUAACCGGCGAUUUCCGAAUGGGGAAACCCAGUGUGAUUCGUCACACUAUCAUUAACUGAAUCCAUAGGUUAAUGAGGCGAACCGGGGGAACUGAAACAUCUAAGUACCCCGAGGAAAAGAAAUCAACCGAGAUUCCCCCAGUAGCGGCGAGCGAACGGGGAGCAGCCCAGAGCCUGAAUCAGUGUGUGUGUUAGUGGAAGCGUCUGGAAAGGCGCGCGAUACAGGGUGACAGCCCCGUACACAAAAAUGCACAUACUGUGAGCUCGAUGAGUAGGGCGGGACACGUGGUAUCCUGUCUGAAUAUGGGGGGACCAUCCUCCAAGGCUAAAUACUCCUGACUGACCGAUAGUGAACCAGUACCGUGAGGGAAAGGCGAAAAGAACCCCGGCGAGGGGAGUGAAAAAGAACCUGAAACCGUGUACGUACAAGCAGUGGGAGCACGCUUAGGCGUGUGACUGCGUACCUUUUGUAUAAUGGGUCAGCGACUUAUAUUCUGUAGCAAGGUUAACCGAAUAGGGGAGCCGAAGGGAAACCGAGUCUUAACUGGGCGUUAAGUUGCAGGGUAUAGACCCGAAACCCGGUGAUCUAGCCAUGGGCAGGUUGAAGGUUGGGUAACACUAACUGGAGGACCGAACCGACUAAUGUUGAAAAAUUAGCGGAUGACUUGUGGCUGGGGGUGAAAGGCCAAUCAAACCGGGAGAUAGCUGGUUCUCCCCGAAAGCUAUUUAGGUAGCGCCUCGUGAAUUCAUCUCCGGGGGUAGAGCACUGUUUCGGCAAGGGGGUCAUCCCGACUUACCAACCCGAUGCAAACUGCGAAUACCGGAGAAUGUUAUCACGGGAGACACACGGCGGGUGCUAACGUCCGUCGUGAAGAGGGAAACAACCCAGACCGCCAGCUAAGGUCCCAAAGUCAUGGUUAAGUGGGAAACGAUGUGGGAAGGCCCAGACAGCCAGGAUGUUGGCUUAGAAGCAGCCAUCAUUUAAAGAAAGCGUAAUAGCUCACUGGUCGAGUCGGCCUGCGCGGAAGAUGUAACGGGGCUAAACCAUGCACCGAAGCUGCGGCAGCGACGCUUAUGCGUUGUUGGGUAGGGGAGCGUUCUGUAAGCCUGCGAAGGUGUGCUGUGAGGCAUGCUGGAGGUAUCAGAAGUGCGAAUGCUGACAUAAGUAACGAUAAAGCGGGUGAAAAGCCCGCUCGCCGGAAGACCAAGGGUUCCUGUCCAACGUUAAUCGGGGCAGGGUGAGUCGACCCCUAAGGCGAGGCCGAAAGGCGUAGUCGAUGGGAAACAGGUUAAUAUUCCUGUACUUGGUGUUACUGCGAAGGGGGGACGGAGAAGGCUAUGUUGGCCGGGCGACGGUUGUCCCGGUUUAAGCGUGUAGGCUGGUUUUCCAGGCAAAUCCGGAAAAUCAAGGCUGAGGCGUGAUGACGAGGCACUACGGUGCUGAAGCAACAAAUGCCCUGCUUCCAGGAAAAGCCUCUAAGCAUCAGGUAACAUCAAAUCGUACCCCAAACCGACACAGGUGGUCAGGUAGAGAAUACCAAGGCGCUUGAGAGAACUCGGGUGAAGGAACUAGGCAAAAUGGUGCCGUAACUUCGGGAGAAGGCACGCUGAUAUGUAGGUGAAGUCCCUCGCGGAUGGAGCUGAAAUCAGUCGAAGAUACCAGCUGGCUGCAACUGUUUAUUAAAAACACAGCACUGUGCAAACACGAAAGUGGACGUAUACGGUGUGACGCCUGCCCGGUGC